rnacentral:lncRNA from 1 species
UCAGAGUCAAAAUUGUAGAAUGUGGUACUCUACUGUAUACAUCUUACCCUACAAAUAACUCAGCUGAUAUGGAAAUGCAUACUUGCAAGGCUGCGUCAGUCACAGAAUUUUGAUUGGAAUAUAUCUAGAGAGGAACAGACUACAGCCACACCACUCAACCUAUGCACCAAGGUAUGCUCUCAAGAGCUGCAGCCAAAUCAUGGAGGAGCUGCGUAUUUAAAAUUUUCAAGAAAAACACAGCAAUACUCCGCAUCUCUCAGUCAUGGAAUGAAAAACAUUAACAACUUCAGCGUAACAUGGGGCUCUGUUCCUUUUGAUGAUAUCAUAACUAGCUGAGCUGUGUUUCCUGCAGUUUCAGGAAAAAAAGUAAGUAAUAUACAAAAAUCAGUGUGAAACAGGAAAUGAGUGUGAGUGCUUGCUGACUUACAGGCUUGCAGAGGCAAACAGGUGCACACAUCCAGUUUGUAACUGUGGUUAUUUAAGAAUGAACUAAAAAUAUUAUUUUGUUCUUUCAAUUUAUGUGUAUUUUUUCCAAAAUCCUACUAAGUUGUUAGGACAUAAAUACUUAUUAAGCUCUUUGGAACUAGCUACUAAAUAAAUGGAACUGCU